AACAAACAGGUUAGAGACAAAAAAAAAUAGGGCAAUCAAGGGUUGCCCCCAAAUCAAAAUGUAACCACAUGAAUCAUGCUCUUUCAAUUCACAAAAAAGCUCACAAAAAGCAACCAAGGGUAGGAGGCCUAAACCUCUUUUCAAACACAUGCAUCAAAAGGGUAUCAAAUUCACCCAUAAUACCUCAUACAUUUAGAGCAUUCAAAUUAAAGGCAUAAAGAUGAUGGAUAUAGGGC
rnacentral:lncRNA from 1 species